UCGGAAAGACUGGCCACAGUAAAAGGAACUGGUCACGCCCUCUACGCGGAUGAUAUUACCGUGUGGUGCAUGUGAGGGUCUGACGCUGCAGAUGAGAGUGCGCUCCAAAGGCGCUCGACAUCACAGAACACUUCCUACUAGACACGGGCCCGAGUCUGUCACCAACCAAGUCCGAACUUCUAUUGUAUAGGCCCACCAGACGGGGGGUUAGGUGCUCCACACCCUUAGAUCAAGUUCCCAUAGCCCUCUAUACGAGGGACGGAGAACAAAUCCCCAGAGUGGAUACCAUCCGGGUCCUUGGACUCUUGCUGGAAUCGCUCGGGGGCAACUCACAGACUAUAGCCCGCAUCACCACCAAGACGGAGAACAUGCUUAGGCAUAUCCUCAGGGUCUCGAAACCGCCGGGGGGGUUUAAUUGAAAGCAAUCUCCUCAGGCUCUACCACGCGUUUCUUAUGAGCCACGUUAACUAUGUAGUUUCCGCGUUGCGCUGGUCUAAACGGGAAGAGGCCAAAAUCGACGCCCUCAUGUGCAAAAGCAUCAAGCGCGUGCUAGGUUUACCACUCACUACCAGCACCGAGCGUCUCAUGCA
rnacentral:lncRNA from 1 species